GAAGCCACAGUGCCGGAGGCUGGCCUUCAAUAUAGCCAUGUCAUUUCCUGUCUGAUUGCCACACGCAUUGGUGGCACCAUGCACUCAAGAUGAUGGCUUCGUCGGCCACCCACAGGCACAGUGAAGCCACAGAGCCAGAGUCGCUGCAGCCCCCGCUGCACCAUUGACAAGCCAGGACUCACACGGUCAACUCCUCGGGCCUAGAAAACAGCAGAAAGGGAAAGACAUAUGGAGCACAUCCUGGCCUUGGUCUGUGAUCAAUGGGGACGUCCAGCCGCAGAGAUGUAGGGCUGCAGUGAGGUUCCUGAGGGUGAAGAAGUCUGUUCUCUGCAGACAGCUGAGGAGAGAAAAGCAGAAAGUGGUGAAGUAUCUGAAGGAGAAGAGGAGAGGAGCAUGCCUGCUUCGAGCUCUGUGUGAGCAGAUGAGGAACACACUUAAACACAUGCCUGGGAACACCUGGAGGAAAAAUGGCUUCAUCAACCAGAGUCUUGCAGGUGAAGUGUUCUCUCUCAUCCUGUGUGCUAUGAAGCUGGGGUGGCACCAAUGAGCCUGAAAGCUACAGUGCAGAAAAGGCAAGGGUUCAGAACUCAGGCUGCUGUGGUCCCCAAGAUUAGCAACUGUGGUCAGCAGUGGGUGAUGCCAUGUGUACGACUAUGUCUUAAAACCACCUUCAGACCAGAGAUCCCACACUUCCUAAUUUCCUAAAAUUCUGUCACUGCAUGGACCACAUGUAGACAGGUAUAUAAGCAUUUAUAAUCCAACGAGGGAGAGCACACUAAAAGACUGAAAAAAAAGAGAGAGAGAGAGAAAGAGAAAAGACCCAUCCUGCUCUGAAUUUUAGUGGGUGUUUUGUUGGAAGAAAGUGAAAAUAAGAAUAGACAGAAAAGGCAAAGGCUUUUAGCAGUAUGAAGCCAUGGUUUUUAGUUUCUGUCUCUAGUGAUAAGUGGAAAAGAGGGACGAGGAAGGGGCUUUACCAGCCCAAUCAGAAACAGAAACUAAGAACCCAUGACUGUGUUCUCUCCCUUGGACACCCUGGCAGGGAGUGGAAAUUAUUGAACACUAAGAUAAAUGGAGAUCACUAUAGCCUUGAGACUAAAUUUUACUUGCAGAAGAAUGCGGAGAACCUCUUCCAAACAGCUUUAGGAAAAGGGAGAGCUCCUCCCUCCUUCCAUUAUCCACCAGCCUGUGCACCUGGGAGGAACUUUACCACCUGCAAGACACGGUUGUAAAAUAAACAUCAGAUGUGGAAAUCCUGCUGAAGAAAAAGACAAAAAGGCCGGAGAACCCUCACAGAGCUGCAUGCCCACAGGAAAAGGAGCACCCUCUCCUCACUCACUCCACAGUGCGCAGAGGGCAGAAGUUGAGGAGGCAAAUAUCUCAGCUGCAGCUCCUAGUUUCUACAGAGGCUCAAACCCCUCACCAGACCAAGCCGCUUUCUGUUUCCAUCAGAGGAAGCCAGAGAGCAGGGGUAACAGGUAUAGGGGUACUUUUUAUUUCUAAACAUCUUUUUUUAUUUCUUUUUAUUAAUAGGCUUUAUUUUUUAGAGCAGUUUUAGGUUCACAGCAAAAUUGAGAGGAAGGCACAAAGAGUUCUCAUAUACUCCCCACCCCCUCAACCAUAUGCACAGCCUCCCCCACUAUCAACAUCCCACUCCAGAGUGGCCCUUUUGUUACAGGUGAUGAACAUGCAAACAUCACUAUUAACCCAAGGCCAUAGAUGACAUUAGGGUUCACUCUUGGCGCUGUAUAGUCCAUGGGUUUGGACAAAUGUACAAUGACGUGAAUCUACCAUUACAGUAUCAUACAGAGUAGUUUCACUGCCCUUAAAAUCCUCAGUGCUCCAUCUACUUAUCCCUCUCUCCCUUCCCCCAUUCCUUAGCAACCACUGCCUUUUUACUGUCUCCCUAGUUUCACAUUUUCCAGAAUGUCCUAUAGUUUGAAUCACACAGCAUGGAGUCAUCAUUUUACCUAUGGAUGCACAAUUGUUGCAGUAUCAUUUAAUGAAAAGGCUAUUAUUUCUCCAUCAAGUUGCCUUUGAAACUUGGUCAAAAAUUAGAUGUUCAUAUAGUGUGGCUUUAUUUGUGGACUUUCUACUACACUCCAUUAAUUGUUUUGCCUGUAUUUUCACCAAAACAACACUAUCUUGAUUACUGUAGGCUUUUCAUAGAUCUAGUAAUAAGAUAAUAUUCAUUCUCCAAAUUUGUUUUUAUUUUUUUAAGUUGUUUUGACUAUUGUAGGCACUUUGAAUUUCUGUAUGAAUUUUGUAAAUUCUAGAUUUAGUUAUCAAAUUUUUUUAAAAGCCUACUGGAAUUUCUAUUUGGAUUGCACUGAUCCUAUAGAUCAAUUUGUGGAGAACUGACAUCUUAACAAUAUUGAGUCUUCCAACUUAUGAACAUAGUAUAUUUUUUCCUCCAUUUAGAUCUUUACUUGUUAUCAACACCAUUUUACGGUUUUCAGUACACAGAUGUUUUACUCCUUUGAAGCAGACUAAUUCCUAGGUAUCUUAUUUUUAUGCUAAAGUAAAUGUUAUUUAAUUUUCAAUUUCUAAUAGUUUGUUGUGAGUACAUAGACAUACUAUUGAUUUCUGUAUAUUAAUCUUCUAUACUGGAAACUUGCUAACCUCACCUGUUAGUUGUAUUAGCUUUCUUUGUAGAUUCCAUUUCAUUUCUACAAAGAUGAUCAUGUCAUAUGCAAAUAAAAGGUUCUACUUUUUCCUUUCCAAUAUAAAUGCCUUUAAUUUCCUUCUUUUGCCUGAUUGUACUUGUGAGAACCUCCUCCAGGUUGAAUAGAAAUGUGUUUUUUCUAAUCUUCAGGAGGAAAGCAUUUUGUCAUUUACCACUGAGUAUGAUGUCAUCUGUGGGUUUUUGGUAGAUGCCCUUCUGGUCCUUGUUUGAUGAGAGCUUUUAUGUCAAGUAUAUGUUGAAUAUUAUCAAAUACAUGUUUGUGUCUAUUAAGGAGAUGAUACAAGUUUUUCUUUUUUAGUUUCUUAAUAGGAUGAAUUAUAGUGAUUAAGAUCUUAAAGUUAAGCCAACCUUACACACUUGUGGUAAACCCCACUUGGUCACAAUAUCUACUGCUUUUGAUAUACUGUCAGCUAGAAUACAAAAAUUUUGUUUAGAUUUUUUUGCAUUUAUGUUCAUGAGAGAUAUUAGUCUCCACUUUUUUUGUCUAAUAAAUUUGUCAGGAUCCGGGGUCUGAGUAAUGCUGGCCUCAGAAAGUGUUGGAAAGGAUAUCCUCCUUUUUAAUUUUCUGGAAGAAUUUUUGUAGACUCAGAACUCAUUCUCUCUUUAAUGUUUCGUAGAACAUACUAGUGAAGCUACCUGGGAAUGGAGGUUGUGUGUGUGAGAAGAUUUUUAAUUACAAAUUCAAUUUAUUUAAUUUAGAGUUAUUCAGAUCAUCAAUUUCUUCUUCAGUAAGCAUUUGUAGUUUGUGGUUUUUCAAAGGCUUUGUACAUUUCAUUGAUGUUGACAAAUUAAUUCACAUAGAACUGUUCAUAAUAUUAUCUUAUUUUCCUACCAUUAUCUUUUGAUUCUGAUGCCACUUUGCUUUUCUGAUUUUGGUGAUUUAUGAUUUAUUUUCUGAUCAAUCUUGCUAAAUGUCUAUCAAUUUUAUUGAUCUUAAAGAAACAGCUUUUGGCUUUAUUGAUUUUUUCUAUUGUCUUUCUGCUUUCUAUUUUAUUAACCUCCAUUCUGACCAUUUUUACUUCCUUUCUUAUACUUACCUUGUGUUUAAGUUGAUCUUUUUUUUUUUUUUUUUUUGUACUGUUAAGGUGGAAGCUGAGGUCUUAACAUUUGAGAACUUCAUUUUCUAAUAUCAAUGUUUUGUGCUCCAAAUUUCCCCCAAAUGCUUUAGUGAUAAUCUAAUAAAUUUUUAUUUGUUAUGUUUUAAUUUUCGUUCACUUUAAAACAGUGCCUAAUUUCCCUUCUAAUUUCUUCUUUGACUAAUGGCUUAUUUAGAAAUGUGUUGUUUAGUUUCCAUGUUUGAGGGAUUUUCUAGAGAUUUUUCUGUUACUAAUUUUUAAUGUAAUUUCAUUGUGAGUAGAGCACAAACUUUGUAUGACUUGGAAUAUUGUAUACUUUUUGAGGCUGGUUUAAUGGCACCAAAUUUGAGUUAUCUUGGUAAAUAUUAUGUGUACAGUUGAAAAUAAUGUACACUAUGUUAUUAUUGGGUGGAGUGUUCUAUAAAUAUCAACUAAGUCAAAUUAGUUAAUGGUGUUUAAAUACUCUAUUCCUUACUGAGUUUUUGUUCACCUGUUUUAUCAAUUAUUGAGAGAGGGUUACUAAAUUCUCUGUCUAUAACUAUACAAUUAUAUAUUUUUCCUUGCAGUUAUAUCAGUUUUUGCUUCAAUUGUUUUGUUUUUGUUGAUAUUUAGGAUUGUUAUUUCCUCUUGAUAAAUUAAUCUUUUUGUCAUGAAAUCUCUUUAUCUAUUUCUGCUUAUUUCCUUUGUUUAAAGUCUAAUUUGUCUGAUAUUAAUGUAGUAGCUCCAGCUUUAUUUGAUUAAUGUUAACAUGUAUUUCCUAAUUAUGUAUUUUCUAUGGCCAGCAUAUAGUUGGGUCUUGCUUUUGCAACCAAUUAGACAAUCUCUGCCUUUUUAUUUGAAGUAUUUAGACUAUUUACUUUCAUGUGAUUAUUAAUAUGGUUGUUGAUAUGAAUAUGAUCAUCUUGGUAUUUAUUUUCUGUUUGCCCCUUUGUUCUUUUUUCCCUUUUCUCUUAUUUUUUAAACCAUCUUUUGGAUUAAUAUAUUAAUUUUGACUAUUAUAAUUCUU
rnacentral:lncRNA from 1 species